rnacentral:rRNA from 1 species
UACAGAGGUCCCAAGCGUUGUUCGGAUUCACUGGGCGUAAAGGGUGCGUAGGUGGCUUGGUAAGUUUGAUGUGAAAUCUCCGGGCUUAACCCGGAAAUGGCAUUGAAUACUAUUGAGCUGGAGGUUUGGAGGGGGGACUGGAAUUCUCGGUGUAGCAGUGAAAUGCGUAGAUAUCGGAAGGAACACCAGUGGCGAAAGCGGCUUCCUGGUCCAGCACCGACGUUCAGGCACGAAAGCGUGGGGAGCAAACAGG